CAUGGUGGAACUAUUAAAGAAUUUCGGUCAUCGAUGGGGAUGCGUUCCAUUAGGUUGUUGGCGGGGUAACGGCCCACCAAGCCUUCGAUGGAUAGGGGUUCUGAGAGGAAGGUCCCCCACAUUGGAACUGAGACACGGUCCAAACCCCUACGGGAGGCAGCAGUGAGGAAUAUUGGUCAAUGGACGAGAGUCUGAACCAGCCAAGUAGCGUGAAGGAUGACUGCCCUAUGGGUUGUAAACUUCUUUUAUACGGGAAUAAAGUGAGGCACGUGUGCCUUUUUGUAUGUACCGUAUGAAUAAGGAUCGGCUAACUCCGUGCCAGCAGCCGCGGUAAUACGGAGGAUCCGAGCGUUAUCCGGAUUUAUUGGGUUUAAAGGGAGCGUAGGCGGACGCUUAAGUCAGUUGUGAAAGUUUGCGGCUCAACCGUAAAAUUGCAGUUGAUACUGGGUGUCUUGAGUACAGUAGAGGCAGGCGGAAUUCGUGGUGUAGCGGUGAAAUGCUUAGAUAUCACGAAGAACUCCGAUUGCGAAGGCAGCUUGCUGGACUGUAACUGACGCUGAUGCUCGAAAGUGUGGGUAUCAAACAGGAUUAGAUACCCUGGUAGUCCACACAGUAAACGAAGAAGACUCGCUGUUUGCGAUAUACAGUAAGCGGCCAAG
rnacentral:rRNA from 1 species